CGCUUCCGGUGGAGAACUUCCGGAGACAAGCACACAUUUCUCAGCAUAGCAAUAGACUGUGAAUUGGCUUAUUUAAGUUAAAAGAAACGAUCAUAACUUUUUAUUCGUGUUUGCGUGUUGUCAACUUGGUUUACGGCGAACAUGUAAGAUGUCCAGGAUCCUAUCUACUCCCGGGUUGGCGAAAAAACGAGGAAACCAAUGCAGUUUAUUUGAAGAUAAUGGGCCUACUGCUUGGUGGUUUAUUGGAUUGUGAAAAGUGACACUGGAUUAACGAAUUACCAGAGCAAUCCAUUCCAGGACAGAUUAUGAAAGCUGCUUUGCUCUUGUUGAUUUUAAUAUCUUAUGAUAUACAAAUACAGAUUAAGUAUUAAAAAUAAAAUAAAAGUCUUCAACACCAUG